CCCUGCAGUGGAAGGAACACCGAAAUGCAAGUUCGGAGGAGCACCCUAUAAAGGUGCCGGGGCUU
rnacentral:tRNA from 1 species